UCCAGACGCCCCUUCCAUCGAGAACAGCGUGAGCUCUGCCCUGUUGGUGUCCGAUCCAAUGCCGCCGGCGGCUCCAUGGAGUUCCUGCGGUUCUAUCCUAGGUCUCUCACCGAUCAUGGGCUCUCCCUGCCCCGCACGACUCCUCCGCGGCGUCGUCAUCCUCCAGCGCGGGUGUGCCGCCGUCGUUGAGACGAAUCAGCGCCGCCUUCGGUCGCUGCCGCAACGUGUAGCAGGGACACAUUAGGAGCGAGCGCCUCUUUUUGCGUCCUCGCUAGAUCCUCCCAGCAGCAAAUCGCUGUAUCCACCACGCCCUUUUCCAGCAGAGUACGGGAGUCAAAUGCUGCUGGCCCCUGAUCUAGGACCAGACCUGCAGCCGGCGCUUGAUAUGGUAGCAUGAAUAGUGCAGGAGCUAGCAAAGCUGUCACUCGCCGUAUGGAACACCAACGUGGGAAGGUGGAAGCACAAAUAGAAGCUGCUCUUUCUUCCUCGCCCACGACGGAUCAAGCGUCUCGGUCAUUGGCUUGGCAGCGAUGCAACACAUCGUCUCACCAGCACAACUUCUCCCCAUCGGCACAGGUUCGGCGACGCCCCCUUUUCCAUGUCGGUAUUACAUCGGUCUCUGGUGCAGCGGUGCGCGUUCUGGUUCUUUUUUUCCGCUUGCAAAAAAUAAGCUUUCUAAGCACAAGACUCUUUAGCUUACUGAAAACUGUCUUACCCACAAAACUUCUUGCAGAUAUCUAAAAACGAACUGAUAGGACAACUUCAUAAUCUUACAGGUUUAUAACUUAGGGCCUGCUAUUUGUCACGCUUCAUUCCUCCGCAUGCGAGUUGCAUUUGGGCCUCCUGAGCCAAUUAAAGACUGCGUAGGCUUUCAUUUCGAUUCCCACUGACUAAUGGUUUCUUGACCUGUGUUUCUUUUCUCAUAUUAUUGGCUGGUUGCAUGACAAUUGCUCUUAGUGACUUUCUUUCGUUUAAGUUUGAUUUAGUAUUUGUAGGGAUGCAUCUGUAUGAGGAGUUUCAUCAUUAAUUGGUGUGGUUUGGUUCAGAAAAAAAUAUGACAAGUGUGCAUGCGACAAUGGGUGGACUAUGCAGGAUUUUUUAUUUUGUUUUAUUUUAUUUAUGGCCAAUGAGGACUGUUGAUUGCUGCUACUGAUCAUGGUGGUGACAAGACUCGUGCAUGGUUGUAAGCUAUGCAGUAAUAUAUGCGUAUUCUCAGUGUAUGUAAGCAGCUGCAUGUUGAACACUUGGUCUGUGUAGUCGGAGCAGCUAAUUUCUGAAUGUAAAAAAAUACAGUGUCAACUGUCAAGAGUAAAUGAGUACUUUGUGACAAUGCCA